rnacentral:tRNA from 1 species
AGCCUCGUAAUGCACGUGACUAGAGCCUUCCAAUUGCUGGUGUGGGUUCGAAUCCCACCGAGGCUG